GAUGAACGCUAGCGGCAGGCUUAACACAUGCGAGUCGAGGGGCAGCGCGGGAUAGCCCUCUCCUGGCGGCGACCGGCGGAAGGGUGCGUAACGCGUGAGCGACAUGCCCGUUGCCCGGGGACAACCGGUGGAAACGCCGACUAAUCCCCGAUGGGAUACGAUGCUUCAUGGCAUUGUAUUGAAAGUUACGGCGGCGACGGAUUGGCUCGCGUCCGAUUAGCUGGUUGGCGGGGUAACGGCCCACCAAGGCUGCGAUCGGUAGGGGUUCUGAGAGGAAGGCCCCCCACAAUGGGACUGAGACACGGCCCAUACUCCUACGGGAGGCAGCAGUGAGGAAUAUUGGUCAAUGGGCGGAAGCCUGAACCAGCCAUGCCGCGUGCGGGAAGGAGGCCCUAUGGGCUGUGAACCGCUUUUGCCUGGGGGCAAUAAGGGCGUCGCGCACGUCCGAUGAGAGUACCAGGCGAAUAAGCAUCGGCUAACUCCGUG
rnacentral:rRNA from 1 species